GGGAGGCAGCCGGCCACGGUAGGGUCAGCGACUGGGGUGAAGUCGUAACAAGGUAGCCGUAGGGGAACCUGCGGCUGGAUCACCUCCUUUCUAAGGAUGGUUCUUCAGAAGCUUGCUUCUAUCGAACCGUUUUAGAAACAUCAGUGGCCAACGAUCGUCAGGAUUGUUGAGCUGCAUUGGCGGGAUUUCGCCGUCUUCGUUUCUCUUUCUUCGCGGACGAACACGCGCUGGGGCUGCAAGCUUGCAGAAUCCCUGGUCCUUGACUGGAUAUGCGUUAGGGGCUUGUAGCUCAGUUGGUUAGAGCGCGCGCUUGAUAAGCGUGAGGUCGGAAGUUCAAGUCUUCCCAGGCCCACCACACUCAUCGAGUGAGCAUUCGUCUUCUGGUUACGGGGCCAUAGCUCAGCUGGGAGAGCGCGUGCUUUGCAAGCAUGAGGUCGUCGGUUCGAUCCCGUCUGGCUCCACCAGAUGGUUUGAUCAUCGACUGAUCGUGCACCUAAAUCGUCCGCGAAACAUCACUUCGCACUUACUAGUCCGGAUGGACAGUAAGCUGCGUGAUUUCUGACAUCGUAAAGAGGAGAUCGAUCCGAGUUGGAUCGGGCAACAAGCAAUUGUUGCGCGAUACUUCAUUAUCUCCGGAUCAUUUCGGCGCUCGUGCGCCUUUCAAUGUAGCUCACAAGGCUGCGUCUGAGAGGAAUGCGAGUUGUAAAUGAUCCUUUUAGCGAAGCUUGACCGCCUCGCUAUCGGAACGAUCUUACGAAGCAAGCUGGUCUUUCUAAUCAUUGUCCGGCUGCAGAUAGCGUUCAUCGAGGGCGCGUGCCGCAAGGUAAUUCUGCAGACAACAUUCUGCCGAGUGUGUGGACAUUGAUAAUGAGAGCAAUCAAGUGCCUUAAGGGUGUUCGGUGGAUGCCUUGGCGCUGAGAG
rnacentral:misc_RNA from 1 species